CCAGUUUCAGAUUCGGUGAUAUCGGCUUCAACAAACACUGGCCCAGCCCCAGGGCAGUGGUAUCGAACCUGUGCCACGGGAGCUGCAGCAGGCUCUUUGGAUCACAGAAAGCUCUAAGAUGUUCACCAUCACUGAUCUAAGGUUUUUCUUUAAAUGUUACCAUCUGCAGGAGAGCAAAUGUCAGAGAGAAGCGCAGGGGGCCUCUGCCGUCAGUGGUGACAGUCCGUCCAGCAGCAGACUGGAGACAAGUGAACAAGCUCUUCUCAGACAAUGAAUGUAUUGCAUGCAGGUGCUUAGAGAUCUGGUGAGACUCGAGCAUAAACUCCAUCCAAGUCUU
rnacentral:lncRNA from 1 species